AAGGCAGCCAGUACACCUGCUUACCUAAAUGUAGUUGAAGAGAUUUAGAUAAAGCUGGCAAAAAUAGUGCCAUGAUACAAGCCUUAAGGGCAAUAAAAGUCAUUAAAGUCCCUAAGAAUGGCUUCAACA